CGUAGGGUGCAAGCGUUAAUCGGAAUUACUGGGCGUAAAGCGUGCGCAGGCGGUUUCGUAAGUCUGUCGUGAAAUCCCCGGGCUCAACCUGGGAAUGGCGAUGGAGACUGCGAGGCUAGAGUUUGGCAGAGGGGGUAGAAUUCCACGUGUAGCAGUGAAAUGCGUAGAGAUGUGGAGGAACACCGAUGGCGAAGGCAGCCCCCUGGGUCAAAACUGACGCUCAUGCACGAAAGCGUGGGGAGCAACCAGGAUUAGAUACCCUGGUAGUCCACGCCCUAAACGAUGUCUACUAGUUGUUGGGUCUUAAUUGACUUAGUAACGCAGCUAACGCGUGAAGUAGACCGCCUGGGGAGUACGGUCGCAAGAUUA
rnacentral:rRNA from 1 species